rnacentral:misc_RNA from 1 species
AACGGUCUAUACCUGCGGUACCUGCGGAGGGAUCAUUACCGAGUGCGGGCCCUCUGGGUCCAACCUCCCACCCGUGUUUAUCGUGCCUUGUUGCUUCGGUGCGCCCGCCCCAGUGGCCGCCGGGGGGAUUACGCCUCCCUGGCCAGUGCCCGCCGAAGACACCAACGAACGCUAUCUUGAAGCUUGCAGUCUGAGCUGAUUAGCAUAAUCAAUUAAAACUUUCAACAAUGGAUCUCUAGA